UUUUUUUUUUUUUUUCUUUUUUGAGACAGAGUCUCGCUCUGUUGCCCAGGCUAGAGUGCAGUGGCCGGAUCUCAGCUCAUUGCAAGCUCCGCCUCCUGGGUUCAUGCCAUUCUCCUGCCUCAGCCUCCUGGGCAGCUGGGAUUACAGGCGCCCACCACACACCUGGCUAAUUUUUUGUACUUUUAGUAGAGACGGGGUUUCACCGUGUUAGCCAGGAUGGUCUCAAUCUCCUGACCUUGUGAUCUGCCCGCCUCAGCCUCCCAAAGUGCUGGGAUUACAGGCGUGAGCACCGCGCCCGGCCUAUUCCUUAACUUCCUUAAUAAAUGUGCUUUCACUUUGCCCUGAGGACUUGCCCUGAAUUCUUUCUUGCGAGAAAUUUAAUAAUCCUCUCUUAGGGUCUGGCUCGGGACCCCUGUCCUGUAACACUUAUAGGUAUUAAACAAGAAAAAGACCCAAUCUCAAAUACACUGGGUUAAACCUCUUUCUUUAAUGAAGAACUUCUUAGAAACUUUCAUUGCUCAAUUUCAUCCAUGCUUUUUCAAGUGAAUAAAGAACCUGUAUUAUUUUUCAAAUUUAUUUGACCAUAAAUCUGUUUUGGAAUUCUUGUUCUGCAAUUUAACAAUUGUGAAAACACUAGGCAAGACACUCUGAGGAUCUUAGUUAGCUUAUUUAUAGAGUAGAAAUAAUGAUUCCUAUUUCACAGUCUUGCUGUGAAAAUUAAAUAAGGAUAAGGUUAAAAACAUGCCAUAAUGCUGGGCAAAUAAGCAGUUCUGAGUAGAUGUUGGUUGGUUUUUUUAAAGUUUUUUUUAAAUUGAUUUCUGGAUAAAAUAUUUAAAAGGAUAUUUAGGAAUGAGUCUGACUUAUUUAGUAACUGGUAUGAUUUGGGCAUUUACCAAUGAAAAAGGACAUUGGUUCAGGAACAACCCCUUGGUUAUUGGUCAUAAUGAUGUCAGGAGGGUCCUAAGUGAUGGGCAUUUGGUGAGAGAAUUAGAACUAUGGCUUUUUAUCAACUUUAGUAAAACCAUUUCCAUAUUUUAAUUCACAUUAUAUCUAUCCCAGUAUGUAUCUGUCCACUAUCAGCUUUGCAUAUAGGCAAAUAAGAGUAUGUUCAGAGAAGAAUAUUUAACAGGGUGAAGACACUCACUAUAAAGGUAUAUGAGGAUCUGUUAAAGGGAGCAGAGAUGUUUAUUCCAGAAAGGAGAAGACUUGGGGGAAGGGGGUGGGCAUGAAAGCUGUCUUCAAAUAUCUGUCUUCAAAUAUCUGAUUGUCAGGUGGAAGACAGGCUAGACUCAUUCUGUGUGUCUCCAAAGGGUUCAAUCAAGAACAAUCAACGUGUGAAAGCUUUAGAGCAUGAAAGUUCAACUCUACACAAGUAAAAGUUUUCAGAACUCACAGUAGUUCAAAGAAUAGCUGCCCCCAUCAAGUGCUGAAUUCCCCAUUACUUUAAGAUGUUCAAAAAGGCAAUAGUCAAAAUGCCUGGAAUGGAUGUUGUAGAGAAGAUACAAUUAUCAGAUAGUUUUAUAGACUCAACUCAAAGAUCCCUUAGUCCCUGAGCAUCUUUGUUUCUAUGACCAAAAGGUGGAGGUUCUUAGUGGUAAUUCUCUCAUUUCUGUAAACUAUAUGCAUUAUGUUGAGUUUAUUUGCAUCUUUAGCCAUAAAAAAGAGAGCUAAGAACUACAUAAAUUAACUAGCAAGACAAGCUGCUGGUAAAUUAGAACAUGAGUUGAGAGCUUCUUCAUUUGUCAGGGCUAUUAAUCCAAAGAGAGACAAAUAAAAACAGUUCACUAUCACAGAGGAGUACGCAACUCAAACCCGAGGUCAGUUUAUUUUUUAAGGAGAGUUUUAAAAUGCCGACAUUUGCCUUAAUUCUACACAUAAACACAUUUUACUUACAUAUUAAUACUAGUUACUUUAGUAAAGAAGGAACCAAAGAAGCAUAAGAAAGACUCAGAGACAUACAGAGAAAGAAGGAUGAGAGAC
rnacentral:lncRNA from 1 species